rnacentral:lncRNA from 1 species
AAAAAGUCAAGGCAGCAAGGAAAAGUCAACCCAAACCAAGUCUAAACAUUCAAGAAGCAUUCUCAAUUGGAUUCACAACCAAAUCAUGCAUCAUGGUCAUUUCAUAUGCAAAAUAAUGCACAGCAUGGCAAGAGAAGCAUACAAAAGUCAACAGCAAAGACUUCAUUCAAAAGUCAACUCAAACAAUUUCAAAAAUCAUGAAA